rnacentral:lncRNA from 1 species
GGGAGAUUGGUAGGAACUAAACCACAAGUGGGUCAUGCCAUGUUAGCCAGGGUCACGUACGUGCAUGUGUGCCUGGAUGUGAUGGUCACGAGGUCUUGCGGAGGAGCGGGCUGCUCACGUUGGAGGGAAGGCCGGAUCACCAGGUGAGAUCGUGGCUGCGUAUGGUUGUUGGCCGAAUGAUAGGCCUGAUCCUUGGACGUUGGAGCGAAUCAAGGAGAGGUUAGUUGCUUAGCGGCCGGGUCAUGUGGUAGUGGGCGUGCGUGGUGGCUCUGGUGUGUGCGCCCGUGUAUAUAAGCAGCUAGCAGUGCUAGCAGAUGGAGUUGCGGCCAUGAGGGUAGCCAGAGGAGAGAUGUAGUCUUCAGGUGUGUCGGUGUGUGUAGCCGUGCUCCGGUGUGUUGCCGAGCAACGGAGUGUGCCGAGCCAAGUUUGAGGGGCCUAGAAG